CAGAAGGGUCGGUUGGCAAUGUAUGCCAAGCACAUCCUUUAAUUGAUGGGCACUGUAUGCUUAUCAAGACAUAUGACCGACAUAAGUUAUGGAUAAAAUAGGUUUGGCAUGCUCGACCAACCCUACU